GAAAUGCGAUAAGUAAUGUGAAUUGCAGAAUUUAGUGAAUCAUCGAAUCUUUGAACGCACAUUGCGCCCCCCAGUAUUCCGAGGGGCAUGCCUGUUCGAGCGUCAGUACAACCCCUCAAGCCUAGCUUGGUCUUGGGGCGCGCCCUGUGGGGCAGCCCUUAAAUGCAGUGGCGGUGCCGUCCGGCUCUACGCGUAGUUAUUUCUCUCGCGACAGAGUGGUGACGGGACCUGCCAGAACACCCAUCCAAUAGGUUGACCUCGGAUCAGGUAGGGAUACCCGCUGAACUUAA
rnacentral:misc_RNA from 1 species